rnacentral:rRNA from 1 species
CCUACGGGAGGCAGCAGUGGGGAAUAUUGGACAAUGGGCGCAAGCCUGAUCCAGCAAUGCCGCGUGAGUGAUGAAGGCCUUAGGGUCGUAAAGCUCUUUUACCAGGGAUGAUAAUGACAGUACCUGGAGAAUAAGCUCCGGCUAACUCCGUGCCAGCAGCCGCGGUAAUACGGAGGGAGCUAGCGUUGUUCGGAAUUACUGGGCGUAAAGCGUACGUAGGCGGUUAUUCAAGUCAGAGGUGAAAGCCCGGGGCUCAACCCCGGAACGGCCUUUGAAACUAGGUAGCUAGAAUCUUGGAGAGGUCAGUGGAAUUCCGAGUGUAGAGGUGAAAUUCGUAGAUAUUCGGAAGAACACCAGUGGCGAAGGCGACUGACUGGACAAGUAUUGACGCUGAGGUACGAAAGCGUGGGGAGCAAACAGGAUUAGAUACCCUGGUAGUCCACGCCGUAAACGAUGAUAACUAGCUGUUCGGGCACUUGGUGCUUGAGUGGCGCAGCUACGACAUUAAGUUAUCCGUCCGUCGGGUAGGUACGGUCGCGAAGAACUUAAAACCCGUAAAACGGAAAGUUAGUACGGCGUGAGACGAGCCGAACGGACGACGACGAGGGAGGUAGG